UACGUAUCGUCCAAACGUUAUUCGGAAUUACUGGGCUUAAAGGGUACGUAGGCGGCGCUGUCAGUCGGGUGUGAAAUCCCAGGGCUUAACCCUAGAACUGCGCCCGAUACUGCAGUGCUUGAGGGAGACAGAGGUAAGCGGAAUUGAUGGUGGAGCGGUGAAAUGCGUUGAUAUCAUCAGGAGCACCAGUGGCGAAAGCGGCUUACUGGGUCUCUUCUGACGCUGAGGUACGAAAGCUAGGGGAGCGAAGGGG
rnacentral:rRNA from 1 species